GACGAACGCUGGCGGCGUGCUUAAUACAUGCAAGUCGAGCGGAACUGGGGGAGCUUGCUCCUUCCAGUUUAGCGGCGGACGGGUGAGUAACACGUGGGCAACCUGCCCUGCAGAUCGGGAUAACUCCGGGAAACCGGUGCUAAUACCGAAUAGUUUGGCGCCUCUCCUGAGGCGCUACGGAAAGACGGUUUCGGCUGUCACUGCAGGAUGGGCCCGCGGCGCAUUAGCUAGUUGGUGGGGUAACGGCCCACCAAGGCGACGAUGCGUAGCCGGCCUGAGCGGGUGACCGGCCACACUGGGACUGAGACACGGCCCAGACUCCUACGGGAGGCAGCAGUAGGGAAUCUUCCGCAAUGGACGCAAGUCUGACGGAGCAACGUCGCGUGAGUGACGAAGGUUUUCGGAUCGUAAAACUCUGUUGUGAGGGAAGAACACGUACCAACUAACUAUUGGUACCUUGACGGUACCUCACCAGAAAGCCACGGCUAACUACGUGCCAGCAGCCGCGGUAA
rnacentral:rRNA from 1 species